AGAGUAUGAUCCUGGCUCAGAACGUACGCUGGCGGCACGCCUUAUACAUGCAAGUCGAACGAAGUAGCAAUACUUAGUGGCAGACGGGUGAGUAACAUGUGGGUAUCUUCCCUUUGGUGAGGAAUAACACGAGGAAACUUGUGCUAAUACCUCAUAAGUCUUUACGGAGAAAGCUUUAUGCGCCAAUGGAUGAGCCCGCACUUGAUUAGUUUGUUGGUGGGGUAAUGGCCUACCAAGACUUUGAUCAAUAGCUGAUCUGAGAGGAUGAUCAGCCACAUUGGGACUGAGACACGGCCCAAACUCCUACGGGAGGCAGCAGUAGGGAAUAUUGCACAAUGGAGGAAACUCUGAUGCAGCGAUGCCGCGUGAGUGAAGAAGGCCUUUGGGUUGUAAAGCUCUUUCGUCGGGGAAGAAAAUGACGGUACCCGAAUAAGAAGGUCCGGCUAACUUCGUGCCAGCAGCCGCGGUAAUACGAAGGGACCUAGCGUAGUUCGGAAUUACUGGGCUUAAAGAGUUCGUAGGUGGUUAAAAAAGUUGGUUGUGAAAUCCCGAAGCUUAACUUCGGAACUGCAAUCAAAACUUUUUAGCUAGAGUAUGAUA
rnacentral:rRNA from 1 species